rnacentral:rRNA from 1 species
UACGGAGGGUGCGAGCGUUAUCCGGAUUCACUGGGUUUAAAGGAUGCGUAGGUGGGCAGGUAAGUCAGUGGUGAAAUCUCCGGGCUUAACCCGGAAACUGCCAUUGAUACUAUCAGUCUUGAAUACCGUGGAGGUAAGCGGAAUAUGUCAUGUAGCGGUGAAAUGCUUAGAUAUGACAUAGAACACCAAUUGCGAAGGCAGCUUACUACCCGAAUAUUGACACUGAGGCACGAAAGCGUGGGGAUCAAACAGG